AUACGGAGGGUGCGAGCGUUAAUCGGAAUUACUGGGCGUAAAGCGCGCGUAGGCGGUUAGAUAAGUCUGAUGUGAAAGCCCUGGGCUUAACCUGGGAAUGGCAUUGGAUACUGUUUGACUAGAGUGCAGGAGAGGAGAGUGGAAUUCUCGGUGUAGCGGUGAAAUGCGUAGAUAUCGGGAGGAACACCAGUGGCGAAGGCGGCUCUCUGGACUGACACUGACGCUGAGGUGCGAAAGCGCGGGUAGCAAACAGGAUUAGAUACCCCUGUAGUCC
rnacentral:rRNA from 1 species